rnacentral:rRNA from 1 species
UACGUAGGUGGCAAGCGUUGUCCGGAUUUAUUGGGGUUAAAGGGUGCGUAGGCGGCUUAUUAAGUCAGUGGUGAAAUACUCUAGCUCAACUAGAGGGGUGCCAUUGAUACUGAUGAGCUUGAGUACAGAUGAGGUAGGCGGAAUUGACGGUGUAGCGGUGAAAUGCUUAGAUAUCGUCAAGAACACCUAUAGCGAAGGCAGCUUACUAGGCUGUAACUGACGCUGAGGCACGAAAGUGUGGGGAUCAAACAGG